UACGUAGGGGGCAAGCGUUGUCCGGAUUUAUUGGGCGUAAAGAGCGUGUAGGCGGUUUGGUAGGUCCGCUGUGAAAACUCGAGGCUCAACCUCGAGACGCCGGUGGAAACCAUCAGACUAGAGUCCGGAAGAGGAGUGUGGAAUUCCUGGUGUAGCGGUGAAAUGCGCAGAUAUCAGGAAGAACACCCGUGGCUAAGGCGGCUCUCUAGUACGGUACUGACGCUGAGACGCGAAAGCGUGGGGAGCGAACAGG
rnacentral:rRNA from 1 species